UUAAAUUAAUGCCAAAAGUAGGAGACCCCGCGAAUAGUUGUGAGGACUAUGCUGAUAAAACUAGGAAUUUUACUUAGGAGCAAAGAUCAUCAAUCCUAAAAUAUUUAUGUGACAAUGUUCAUCCAAUCACCUUGCAACACCUUGAUGUACAUGUACCAAGUCUAAUUCAUGUCACUAUUACAUGCACUUUGAUACACAGACCAUCCAACUUUGAUUCAGGCUUUUUACAUCAUAUGGCUGAUCUAGAUGCUGUUUUAAGAGCACAGUCUGUACUGUUUGUGAUUGAAGAAGAAGUGGAAACAAAGCCAGAAAAUCUGUUGAGUCAUACAGAUAUUCUGUUUAAUAUGUCCCGAAACACAAACUUCAGCGAAGACCUACUUUAGAAAAGAUGCAUGGCAGCUUGUUUUAAAUACUCUCAAAGUAUUAGAAGAUAUGUAUAUUAGUAACACUCAGAAGUAUUAUGAUAAGAUUUCUCCAUGCCAGACAAGAAAAGGCAAAGCUUUAAUAGGUCCAGUUGAAGGAAGAAUAUUCAAAAAGUUUUCAAAAAGGACAUCAGACCAGAUUAAAUCAAAAAAAAGAAGUGUAUAUUCCUUUACAAGUGAGGAAUUUUCUCCAUUAAAAGCUAGGAAAGCUAAGAAAUCC